rnacentral:rRNA from 1 species
UACAGAGGGGGCAAGCGUUAUUCGGAAUUAUUGGGCGUAAAGGGUGCGUAGGCGGCCCGGUAAGUUAGUGGUGAAAGCCUCCAGCUCAACUGGAGAACUGCCAUUGAUACUGCCGGGCUUGAGUACAGACGAGGUUGGCGGAAUUGAUUGUGUAGCGGUGAAAUGCAUAGAUACAAUCAAGAACUCCGAUUGCGUAGGCAGCUAACUAGGCUGUAACUGACGCUGAGGCACGAAAAGCGUGGGGAGCGAACAGG